rnacentral:lncRNA from 1 species
AAUAAUUCUUCGCUAGGUAACAAAACAAAAUGAGAUGAAUUAAUAUUUCCUUUAAAUGACAAAUCAUCAGGAUGCUUUUUUUCUUUAUUUUUCCUUUUCUCUCUUUUUGUUCUCCUCUAUUCCUUUUACUUCUUUUUUUCUCUUCUUUUUCUCUCUUUUCUUCUUCUUCUUCUUCUCUUCCUUUAUUUUCUUUCUUUUUUCUUUUUCUUUUCUCUCUCUUUUCUUUCUCUUCUCUUUCUUUUAUUUUUCUUAUCUUUCUCUUAUUUCUUUUGCUUCCUUUUCUACAAGUGCUUCCUUUUCUUAUGCUCUCUUUAACUUCUCCUCUUGUUUUCUUUUCA